rnacentral:lncRNA from 1 species
GACUAUUCGAGUGGAGGUGAUCGGGCCCGGGUUCCGAGAGUGAUUUCCGUUCCGGGAAUCAUAUCUGAUUUUGAUGAUCGUGAUGAAGGGGUAGAAUCUGAUGCACCUGUUCAUCAAGAAAGAAGAGUCAUUGUAGCCAAUCAGCUACCUCUAAAGGCAUAUAAAGAUUCAGAAACCAAUAAAUGGUGCUUUGAUUGGGAUGAAGAUGCCUUAAUUUUACAAAUGAAAGAUGGGUUUUCACCAGAUGUGGAAUUUGUGUAUGUGGGGUGCUUGAGGGUGGAGAUUGAACCAUUAGAACAAGAAGAAGUGGGUCAACUUUUGUAUGAAAAAUUCAAAUGUGUGCCUACCUUUCUGUCAUUGAAUUUGAUGAACAAAUUUUAUCAUGGCUUUUGUAAGCAUUAUCUGUGGCCUUUAUUUCAUUACAUGUUGCCUUUUACACCUGAUCAUGGAGUCAGAUUUGAUAAGGACAUGUGGCAGGCUUAUGUUUCGGCAAACAAGGUUUUUGCUGACAAGGUUAUGGAGGUUAUCAACCCAGAUGAAGAUUAUGUUUGGGUACAUGAUUAUCAUCUCAUGGUGCUACCUACUUUCCUGAGGAAAAGGUACAAUAGAGUAAAGCUUGGAUUUUUCCUUCAUAGUCUUUUUCCUUCAUCUGAAAUUUAUAGAACUUUGCCUGUUAGGGAGGAAAUUUUGAGGGCCCUUUUAAACUGUGAUCUUAUUGGAUUCCAAACAUUUGAUUAUGCUAGGCAUUUCUUGUCAUGUUGUAGUAGAAUGCUUGGAUUGGAUUACCAAUCCAAGAGGGGGUAUAUUGGUCUAGAUUACUAUGGUAGAACUGUUAGUAUUAAAAUUCUACCUGUUGGAAUUCAUAUGGGUCAGAUUGAAUCAAUUAUGUCGUUACCAGACACUCCUAAGAAAGUUAAGGAAUUGAAGGAAAAGUAUGAUGGGAAAAUUGUGUUGUUGGGUGUAGAUGAUGUGGACAUGUUUAAGGGUAUUGGUUUGAAGUUUGAAGCCUUUGGGCAGCUUUUGGACGAGAAUCCGAGAUAUAGGGGAAGUGUUGUUUUGGUUCAAAUUAUGAACUCCCCAAGGAGUCAGGGAAAUGAUAUCCAAGAGGUUCAAAACGAGAUUAAUAAUGUUGCGACAGAAGUUAAUCGACGAUAUGGUAGUGCAGACUAUGAACCAAUUGUUUGUAUCAAUGGCCCUGUUUCUUUUCAAGAUAAGGUUGCGUAUUAUGUGAUUUCUGAGUGUGUCGUGGUAAAUGCUGUGAGGGAUGGAUUGAAUUUGGUGCCUUAUAAGUACACUGUAUCUAGGCAGGGUAGCCCUUAUUUGGAUGAGGUGUUGGGACUUGAGGGAUCAGCCGCUCCAAGGAAAAGUGUCAUUAUUGUCUCGGAAUUUAUAGGAUGUUCUCCAUCUCUAAGUGGUGCAAUUCGAGUGAAUCCAUGGAACAUCAGUUGUGUGGCCGAGGCCAUGCAUUCAGCAAUUUCAAUGCAGGACUUGGAGAAAGAACUGCGCCACGAGAAACAUUACAAGUAUGUUACAUCGCAUGAUGUUGCCUAUUGGGCCAGGAGUUUUGAUCAGGACCUCGAAAGAGCUUGUGCUCAGUAUUACGAAAACAGGUGUUGGGGCAUUGGCUUUGGUUUGAAUAUCCGAGUUGUCGCCUUGGGGCCUCAUUUCAGGAAGCUUUCUGUGGAACACAUUGUUUCUGCAUAUAAGAAUACUAGUAGUAGGCUUAUCCUUCUCGACUAUGAUGGUACCAUGAUGCCACAAGAUCUAAUUGACAAAUCUCCAUGCCGUGCAGUUAUUUCCGUCUUGAAUGGUUUAUGCAAUGAUCCAAUGAAUGUUGUGUUUAUUGUUAGUGGCAGAGGGAAGGAUUCAUUAGAAAAGUGGUUCUCUCCAUGUGAGAGACUCGGGUUAUCUGCAGAACAUGGCUACUUCACCUGGUAAUAUUUCACUCUAUGUACGACUAUGAAUGUCGUGUGUGUUUUUUCCUUGUUUAAUUUACCAUUUUUUUCUGCUAGGUGGACUACGAAUUCUGCAUGGGAAUCUUGCGGUUUAGUCGUCGACUUGAGCUGGAAAAACAUAGUUUUGCCUAUAAUGGAGCAUUAUACGGAGGCUACUGACGGUUCAUCGAUUGAACAAAAGGAGAGUGCUUUAGUGUGGCAUCAUCAAGAAGCCGACCCCGACUUUGGCACAUGGCAGGCAAAAGAGCUUCUUGAUCACUUGGAAAGCGUGCUUGCUAAUGAACCCGUGGUGUAAUAGUCAAUCCUGGCCGAUAAAUUCCAAACCAAACCCAUUGCGUACAUUAUAUUCAUAUUUGUAAGUCGGUCAUCUUUCAUUCUUAUCCUCCUUGCACUUUCCUUGUACAGAAUAAAGAAAAAAAGCAUUUUCAGUACUAGGUGGUAUUAAUCUUGCCUUUUAUACCAUGAAUUUACACACUUUUCGGUUUGGAUUAACACACACAAACAAGAAGAGAUAACCCUUUUGAAGUAAAUAGAUUAUUCUGUUUUUAUACUGAAGUUACUCUACAUUGGGAUCUUUAUCUGUUGUGUCAAGAAAAUCCAAGAUUUUGCUUUCCUUGUACAGAAUAAAGAAAAAAAGCAUUUUCAGUACUAGGUGGUAUUAAUCUUGCCUUUUAUACCAUGAAUUUACACACUUUUCGGUUUGGAUUAACACACACAAACAAGAAGAGAUAACCCUUUUGAAGUAAAUAGAUUAUUCUGUUUUUAUACUGAAGUUACUCUACAUUGGGAUCUUUAUCUGUUGUGUCAAGAAAAUCCAAGAUUUUGCUGGUGUUUUUUUUUUUUUUUUCCUCAUUAUGUUGUCGAGAUCUUAUUUCAAUCUGUUGAACCUCGAUGACUAUUCGAGUGGAGGUGAUCGGGCCCGGGUUCCGAGAGUGAUUUCCGUUCCGGGAAUCAUAUCUGAUUUUGAUGAUCGUGAUGAAGGGGUAGAAUCUGAUGCCCCUGUUCAUCAAGAAAGAAGAGUCAUUGUAGCCAAUCAGCUACCUCUAAAGGCAUAUAAAGAUUCAGAAACCAAUAAAUGGUGCUUUGAUUGGGAUGAAGAUGCCUUAAUUUUACAAAUGAAAGAUGGGUUUUCACCAGAUGUGGAAUUUGUGUAUGUGGGGUGCUUGAGGGUGGAGAUUGAACCAUUAGAACAAGAAGAAGUGGGUCAACUUUUGUAUGAAAAAUUCAAAUGUGUGCCUACCUUUCUGUCAUUGAAUUUGAUGAACAAAUUUUAUCAUGGCUUUUGUAAGCAUUAUCUGUGGCCUUUAUUUCAUUACAUGUUGCCUUUUACUCCUGAUCAUGGAGUCAGAUUUGAUAAGGACAUGUGGCAGGCUUAUGUUUCGGCAAACAAGGUUUUUGCUGACAAGGUUAUGGAGGUUAUCAACCCAGAUGAAGAUUAUGUUUGGGUACAUGAUUAAAGGUUGCGUAUUAUGUGAUUUCUGAGUGUGUCGUGGUAAAUGCUGUGAGGGAUGGAUUGAAUUUGGUGCCUUAUAAGUACAUUGUAUCUAGGCAGGGUAGCCCUUAUUUGGAUGAGGUGUUGGGACUUGAGGGAUCAGCCGCUCCAAGGAAAAGUGUCAUUAUUGUCUCGGAAUUUAUAGGAUGUUCUCCAUCUCUAAGUGGUGCAAUUCGAGUGAAUCCAUGGAACAUCAGUUGUGUGGCCGAGGCCAUGCAUUCAGCAAUUUCAAUGCAGGACUUGGAGAAAGAACUGCGCCACGAGAAACAUUACAAGUAUGUUACAUCGCAUGAUGUUGCCUAUUGGGCCAGGAGUUUUGAUCAGGACCUCGAAAGAGCUUGUGCUCAGUAUUACGAAAACAGGUGUUGGGGCAUUGGCUUUGGUUUGAAUAUCCGAGUUGUCGCCUUGGGGCCUCAUUUCAGGAAGCUUUCUGUGGAACACAUUGUUUCUGCAUAUAAGAAUACUAGUAGUAGGCUUAUCCUUCUCGACUAUGAUGGUACCAUGAUGCCACAAGAUCUAAUUGACAAAUCUCCAUGUCGUGCAGUUAUUUCCGUCCUGAAUGGUUUAUGCAAUGAUCCAAUGAAUGUUGUGUUUAUUGUUAGUGGCAGAGGGAAGGAUUCAUUAGAAAAGUGGUUCUCUCCAUGUGAGAGACUCGGGUUAUCUGCAGAACAUGGCUACUUCACCUGGUAAUAUUUCACUCUAUGUACGACUAUGAAUGUUGUGUGUGUUUUUUCCUUGUUUAAUUUACCAUUUUUUUCUGCUAGGUGGACUACGAAUUCUGCAUGGGAAUCUUGCGGUUUAGUCGUCGACUUGAGCUGGAAAAACAUAGUUUUGCCUAUAAUGGAGCAUUAUACGGAGGCUACUGACGGUUCAUCGAUUGAACAAAAGGAGAGUGCUUUAGUGUGGCAUCAUCAAGAAGCCGACCCCGACUUUGGCACAUGGCAGGCAAAAGAGCUUCUUGAUCACUUGGAAAGCGUGCUUGCUAAUGAACCCGUGGUUGUUAAAAGAGGCCAGCACAUUGUUGAGGUGAAACCACAGGUAGUGAUCAUAAAACAAACUCAAGAUUUAUCGUGGAAAUCUGUUUCUCCCCACCCUUACCAACUCCUUCGAUGGAUGUUGCACAUUGGAAUACUCAAUAGCGGAUUCUUCCAAUGCAUGAUUUCUGGGUUCAAUAGAACUCAUAAUUAUAGAGAGUUUUUUUCGUUCUAUCACUAUAUUACACCUUUGACCUGAAAUAUUGUAGUUAAUGGAAUAAGCUUGAGUUAUUUGGGCCCCGGAAAAAGCUGAGGAAACUGACUUUUUUAAAAUGCUGAAUCUGUUAAAAGGGUUUCAUGAAAGAUUUUGAAUCCUCAUGUUUAGGAUUCAAGAAAUGCUGGUGUUUUUUUUUUUUUUUUCCUCAUUAUGUUGUCGAGAUCUUAUUUCAAUCUGUUGAACCUCGAUGACUAUUCGAGUGGAGGUGAUCGGGCCCGGGUUCCGAGAGUGAUUUCCGUUCCGGGAAUCAUAUCUGAUUUUGAUGAUCGUGAUGAAGGGGUAGAAUCUGAUGCCCCUGUUCAUCAAGAAAGAAGAGUCAUUGUAGCCAAUCAGCUACCUCUAAAGGCAUAUAAAGAUUCAGAAACCAAUAAAUGGUGCUUUGAUUGGGAUGAAGAUGCCUUAAUUUUACAAAUGAAAGAUGGGUUUUCACCAGAUGUGGAAUUUGUGUAUGUGGGGUGCUUGAGGGUGGAGAUUGAUCCAUUAGAACAAGAAGAAGUGGGUCAACUUUUGUAUGAAAAAUUCAAAUGUGUGCCUACCUUUCUGUCAUUGAAUUUGAUGAACAAAUUUUAUCAUGGCUUUUGUAAGCAUUAUCUGUGGCCUUUAUUUCAUUACAUGUUGCCUUUUACACCUGAUCAUGGAGUCAGAUUUGAUAAGGACAUGUGGCAGGCUUAUGUUUCGGCAAACAAGGUUUUUGCUGACAAGGUUAUGGAGGUUAUCAACCCAGAUGAAGAUUAUGUUUGGGUACAUGAUUAUCAUCUCAUGGUGCUACCUACUUUCCUGAGGAAAAGGUACAAUAGAGUAAAGCUUGGAUUUUUCCUUCAUAGUCUUUUUCCUUCAUCUGAAAUUUAUAGAACUUUGCCUGUUAGGGAGGAAAUUUUGAGGGCCCUUUUAAACUGUGAUCUUAUUGGAUUCCAAACAUUUGAUUAUGCUAGGCAUUUCUUUGAUUAUCAUCUCAUGGUGCUACCUACUUUCCUGAGGAAAAGGUACAAUAGAGUAAAGCUUGGAUUUUUCCUUCAUAGUCUUUUUCCUUCAUCUGAAAUUUAUAGAACUUUGCCUGUUAGGGAGGAAAUUUUGAGGGCCCUUUUAAACUGUGAUCUUAUUGGAUUCCAAAC